rnacentral:rRNA from 1 species
UACGGAGGGUGCAAGCGUUAAUCGGAAUUACUGGGCGUAAAGCGUGCGUAGGCGGUUCGUUAAGUCUGUUGUGAAAGCCCCGGGCUCAACCUGGGAAUGGCAAUGGAUACUGGCGAGCUAGAGUGUGUCAGAGGAUGGUGGAAUUCCCGGUGUAGCGGUGAAAUGCGUAGAGAUCGGGAGGAACAUCAGUGGCGAAGGCGGCCAUCUGGGACAACACUGACGCUGAGGCACGAAAGCGUGGGGAGCAAACAGGA